rnacentral:rRNA from 1 species
AUUGAACGCUGGCGGCAUGCCUUACACAUGCAAGUCGAACGGCAGCACGGGGCAACCUGGUGGCGAGUGGCGAACGGGUGAGUAAUGCAUCGGAACGUACCUUUCAGUGGGGGAUAACGUAGCGAAAGUUACGCUAAUACCGCAUAUUCUGUGAGCAGGAAAGCAGGGGAUCGCAAGACCUUGCGCAGAGUGAGCGGCCGAUGUGAGGUUAGCUAGUUGGUGAGGUAAAGGCUCACCAAGGCGACGAUCUGUAGCGGGUCUGAGAGGAUGAUCCGCCACACUCGAACUGAGACACGGUCGAGACUCCGACGGGAGGCAGCAGUGGGGAAUUUUGGACAAUGGGGGCAACCCUGAUACAGCCAUGCCGCGUGAGUGAAGAAGGCCUUCGGGUUGUAAAGCUCUUUCGGCCGGGAAGAAAUCGCACGGGCUAAUACCCUGUGUGGAUGACGGUACCGGAAUAAGAAGCACCGGCUAACUACGUGCCAGCCGCCGCCGUAAUAC